AUCUUGCUGCAGGUAUCACAGACGUGCGCGGCGGUAAAACUAAAAAUCAGCUGCUCGACACACCGCAUAAACGACUAAGGACGACUUGUGUCGUUGCAAGAAUAAGUCAAAACCACGUAAGGCGCCUCUCUCGCGCCCUGUCACCGCGAAGCGAAUGAACACGCGCGACACUGCUCUGAGCUUUUUAUAUAAACCGAUCUUUAGGCGGACCGAGUGGGCGGCCGUGCGAGAUGACUGAGCGCGUAUGGUGGUUGCGACUUGGCAGUAGUGGCCAACGACUCCUGUAGCAGACGACAAUGAGAAUCGCGCAUUUACGGUGGCAGCACGCGCAAGGGAAAGUAAAGCUUAGCCUUUUCGCCAUUCAGCCACGAACAAUCAUGGAAGUCUCAUUUGUUAGACAAUCGUCUGGCAGACAAGAACAUAGGAAUACGUAUGCUGAUUGAUUCUCUGAAGAAUAGAUUGCCGUAAUUUCCUUAUCGCUGGAGUGCCUGUAAAGAUCUACGUGAAUCCUAUCGAGAUCGGCAGUAUCAUCAUAGAAGAUAAGGCAUUUGAGAUUCAGCGAUUAUUCUUAAUUAAAACGAUGCCCAACUUUCACACAAGCGCUCAAUGACGAUCCCCACGCUUGUGAACCAAUGCAGGUCCUAUGAGGGCGCCAGCGUCGAUACUCUAGACGCAAGAAGAGAGAGAGAGAAAGGGGAAAAACGAUUGUUGCAAGAGAUGGACGAGAUCAUAAGGCGUGAGAUGUCCAGUACAGUAAGCGUGUUUACCCGCAAGUAUAACCGUAUACUCACGGCAAUUCCUCUUGGGGCAGAGUACGCUGGAACGUGGAGUAGUUUCUAUUCGCCAUCCUGAUGCUCUUCCAUGCUACGGAUAACUGGCGAUGCACCCUUGCACACAUUUUGCACUUUACAAUACAUACAAUACAAUAGAUACAAGGAAACAUCUGUGAGGGAGAACGAUUGGCACUGGGUCCUGGUGAAUUUUCAUACGGGUGUAUCUGUUAAUGAAAUUCGGUUCAUCGUUCAUCUCGUGGAUUAGAAACAGAAUGCAAAUUUAUUACCACAGGAAGAAACGUAGGAGCAUGAGAACGGAUCGAAGAACACUGGUUGAAGGAUGCUGGUUAAAAACUAGUAAUUAGAAGUCUUAGUAGGACUUAUCCAGCAAGUAAUUAUUAAUGGAUCUCUUUCGCAACAAUGUCCAUCACCCACGACGUACGCGCAUGUCGUCAGGUCCUAAAAUACAAAUCGGAUAAGGAUUGUACAGGAGGAAAAA